GGGCUGUGUUUGUUCUUGCUUUCGUAUCCCGCAAGAUAAUGUGCCAUUGAAUACUUCCAACCGUCGCGAUUGUUCGUGUCCAAGAUGCGUUAUUAGCAGGUUUUUCAACAGGGAGAGAUCUUCUUCCUAUCCGGAAGAAGCAAGAUGGUUCUCGUCCGAAGUCGAAGAAGGGAGAUCUUUGCCCUAUCCGGAAGAAGCAAGAUGGUUCUCGUCCGAAGAUGAGGAAGAAAGACAAAGAUAUAGGCAAAGACAAAGACAUGCCGAGUUAGUUCAUCAGUCGAUAUUGAUUUCUUUUCAUCGAUUUGGUUCAAAAGAUAACAAUUCCGACGAAGAUCAUUCAUCUGACGAUAAAGAUAGUUGUCCGAUCUGCUUUGAAGGGUACAGCGAAGAAAAUCCUAAGAUAAUAGCAAAAUGUUCGCACCAUUACCACCUGAGUUGCAUUCUUGCAUGGCAGGAGAGGAGCGAUAAAUGCCCCAUCUGUAAAAGGCUGAUGGAAAUUGAAGAUUUAUCUUGAACUCACUGCAAGAAGAAGAAUUUGGACGAUCAGACGUGCAAUUGGUACCCUAAAGAUUGGAUUUUUAUUGUUAUUUGUUAUUUUUAAAUUUUUAAA